UACGUAGGGGGCAAGCGUUGUCCGGAAUCAUUGGGCGUAAAGAGCGUGUAGGCGGCCAGGUAGGUCUGGUGUGAAAACUCGAGGCUUAACCUCGAGAUGUCAUCGGAAACCAUCUGGCUAGAGUCCGGAAGAGGAGAGUGGAAUUCCUGGUGUAGCGGUGAAAUGCGCAGAUAUCGGGAGGAACACCAGCGGCGGAAGGCGGCACUCUGGGCUGGAACUGACGCUGAGGAGCGAAAGCGUGGGUAGCAACAGGA
rnacentral:rRNA from 1 species